UGGGAUGACGUCAAGUCCUCAUGGCCCUUACAGGCUGGGCUACACACGUGCUACAAUGGCAUCUACAGUGGGCAGCUAUUCCGCAAGGAUGCGCUAAUCUCCCAAAAGAUGUCUCAGUUCGGAUUGUCCUCUGCAACUCGAGGGCAUGAAGGCGGAAUCGCUAGUAAUCGCGGAUCAGCAUGCCGCGGUGAAUACGUUCCCGAGGCCUU
rnacentral:rRNA from 1 species